ensembl:snRNA U6 U6 spliceosomal RNA
GUGCUUACUUUGGCAGCACAUAUACUAAAAUUGGAACGAUACAGAGAAGAUUAGCGCAAGGAUGACACGCAAAUUCGUGAAGUGUUCCAUAUUUUC